rnacentral:lncRNA from 1 species
CCCUCGCCUCGCGCCGCCGCGCCGCUCACGUGCGAACCUGUAACACCCCAAAACCACGUGGGGUGAGAACCAACUCCAUGGUUCCCAGUGGGUACGGCCACCCAAGGGAAAAGCUCGACCAAUAGGUCCAAGGGAGGCAACUGCAAGUUAGUUCAAUAAACAGAUAGAUAUAUAUCUUGAUUAUGCAACGAAUAAAACCAUGCAUUGCCUCACGAAUGCAAUAAUGCAAUGCUAUAUGCAAAUCAUGCAAUAAUGCAACUAUGCAACCAACUAGUAGUUCAUUUGACACUACUUUCAAUUCUGCUAACCAUAGCUCAUCCAUUCGAUAUCUAAGGUUUCCUCUAUCUUAGAUUCUUGUCAAUCACCGUUUUAAUCAUAAAGUUUCAUCUACCUUUACAAGGCUAACCACCCGACUCGGUCUUGAGUCAAUCGUCUGCGGAGUACCGCACUAGAACCAGGCUCGAGGCGAUGGACGUCUCACAUACACCUCAGCCCUAGAUCCUCUCGACUAGGAUACCAAAUCCAUAACUCAUAAUGCAUACUUGUUGUACACUCAUUUGGCUAUGACCCAAUCUUACCGGUUAACCAUGUUAACCCCAAUAACUCACAACCAAAUCCCUUAAUAACGGGGGACUCGAACCUCCCUAGGGACCGUCAACUGGUGGGACUUUACCACGCCCAGUGGUGACCAACUCCGGAGCGCACCGCCCGAGGGGGAGCUACCUCCCUCAAGCCAAGACGUAACGUGAGUAUCGAUCCAAUCCUCAACUUGAGGAUUCAUAGCCACUCGUCACAAUGCCAAUGUCAUGAUAGGUCUCUACCUAUUUAAUCAUGCCACUCUCUAUGUCAACUUGGACCAAUGUCAAUAUGGUUAAACUAUGUUUAACAAUCACUUUCUUGAUGCCAAUCAUGUCUCUAUUGUCAUUGUCACCCUUGUUUACUAAUGUUCAAGUCCAACUCUCACAUUUACACAAUAAUAGGGUCCUAACAUACAUGAAUGACACCAGAAUAUAUAUGAUCAAUCACCACAAGUGUUUGCUAGGUUCAAGAUGCUAGGUUUAAUGCCACUCGAUCUAAUACAUAUAUAGAUUGUCCACUAUGUUCCACAACAUGGCAAUAUGUCAUCAAGUAUGUUUUUCUAUUUAACAUAGUCCACAAUAUGUAAAUUCAUAAUAUAUCAUCAUGCACAUAUACCACUAGCAUCACAUGAUUUGUCAACAUACAUAUAGUCAUUAUCCAAAAUAGUCCAUACUUAGCCUCUCAUGCAUUCUUUUAGCACUUAAUUCAUUAUGCAUUACAUUUAGCAUUUCUAUAGUAUGUUAACAUGCAUUCUAUUCACAUUCUUAUAUUAUGUCAAUAUGCAUCAAUAUGAAAUCUCAUUUCUUAGACAUAAAGGGCGACCUAGUCGCUUCGGUAAACACAACCCACCUCAUUUCGCAUUCCGAUUGCUUGUCGACACUUGCAAUCGGCCUCCCGCGGCACCCGGCACCCGGCACCCGGUUUGGCCCGAUCUCUCACGCGACCACCCGAACGGCCUCCAAUUCACGAUCCGAAAAUUAAAGGUCUUCGGUUAUGUGCCACGAUGCUUCAAAUCCGUUUUCAUGAAUUUACGGCAUCGCCUCGGCCCUCCCGGCGGACCCGAAGCCUAAACAUCCAUUUCUUUAAUAACUUUGUAACGGCUCGUCGGAUUGCCGAACCGUCUUCGCCAACGCGUUCGUUUACCUAGCAAUUAGGUUUACGAAGGGUCAAAUGAGAUCAAACCCUCAUAUUUUGAAAGUUUGCAUUUUGGAGCCCUAGGUUACAACUAUGCAAGAAAUCACUAAAUUGAUCCAUGAUUCAAGCAUUAAUCAUCUAGAUAGUAUGCUAGGACUCUUCUAAAUCCAUUUAUAAGGUAUUUAAACCAAGCAUUAAAGAUCUACCAUUAAAGCCCUCAUUUUGGAGCUCUAGGUUUCACUAGGUAAAAACCCACCAUUAGAACCUUGAUUUCAAGCAUCAAACCUCUAAUUAGCAUGCUAGAAUACCUCUAAAUCCAUUCUUAGAGCUUAAAAACCAAACUAGAGAGAAAUGCCAUUAAAGGGUUUUGAAGCUUACCUUGAAAGCUUGCUCUAAUGGAGAAGAAGAUGAUAAAAGAGAUGAAGAUCAACCUCCAAGCUUACUUCUCCUCCAAUUUCAUCAAUUUUGGGGGAGAUUUAGAGAGAGAAAGGAGAGCUCUCUUCCUCCCUCUCCUUGCGUGUGUGUGUGUGUGUGUGUGUGUCGUGUGUGGUGUGUGUGUGCUCGGGCUGAAGGAGAAAGAAGAAGAAGCAUCAGCUUCUUUAUAAUGCACCCGACACUAUUCACUCCCGGGCAGCUUGAAAUCUGAUAAAUUUCGUUGGAGCUCUUCCGGAUGUCCGUUUGAGCUCAAAUUUGGCAGGCAAGUUCGGUUUCACUUCGUAUGUCCAAAGAAAUUUUAAUAUUUCAGUUUCGACCUCGUUUGGUCACUGGAAACUGUACCGAACUGCAAUCUUUAUCAGAUAGCUAUCAGAUUUUUAUUUCUCACUCUACGGGUGUCAGAAAAAUAUGAAACCUUAAAUCUAGCCUCAUAAAAAUAUUUCUGACAUCUCUGCCAAUUUUCAUAAUUUUCUGAGACUGUGCAUUUUCUGCUAAUUUAUCUGUCCCGUUUCCAACAGAAAAUUCUAGAUCUUUUGUUUUCAUUCCGAUUUCAGCAUAAGUCACUUCUGACUUAUAUUUGUUUGAAGUAAAAUAAUACUUGUCAUACAUAUAUAUAGGUUGAAACAAUCCUAAUCCUAAUAAAAAAAUGAUUAGAUUCGAGUUCAUAUAAUCCUAAUAGGUCUCGUAUUAAUCAUUAAUUUUCUCGGGCCAAUAAUUAUAAUAUACCAUAAGCCUAUUUAAAAAUGUGAGUGGGUGGACCUUUACGAAAGCCCAAACAAAUAAAAAAGAAGUGAGUGAGUGAGCCCUUACGAAAGCCCAAACAAAAAAAAAAAAAAAAAUGAGGGUGGGCCUUUAUUUCAACCCGUUAUCAUUUGAGCCCAAUAAAUUAAGGUGGGUCUGAUCAACGACGGCCCACACCCACACCUUAUAAAGUAUCUAGUCGAAAUCCGAUUUCAAAUCAUAAUCCAUUCAAAAUUCGAAUUUCGAAUUUUGAAUUUCCAAAAUACCAUCCAAUAAUCCAUUCAAAAUCCGAAUUUUGAAUUUUGAACCCCCAACAAAUUNN